rnacentral:rRNA from 1 species
CAUGACCUACGGGAGGCAGCAGUAGGGAAUCUUCGGCAAUGGGGGCAACCCUGACCGAGCAACGCCGCGUGAGUGAAGGAGGUUUUCGGAUCGUAAAGCUCUGUUGUAAGAGAAGAACGUGUGUGAGAGUGGAAAGUUCACACAGUGACGGUAACUUACCAGAAAGGGACGGCUAACUACGUGCCAGCAGCCGCGGUAAUACGUAGGUCCCGAGCGUUAUCCGGAUUUAUUAGGCGUAAAGCGAGCGCAGGCGGUUGGAUAAGUCUGUAGUUAAAGACUUUGGCUUAACCAUAGU